AGUGAACGCUGGCGGUAGGCCUAACACGUGCAAGUCGAACGGCAGCACAGUAAGAGCUUGCUCUUACGGGUGGCGAGUGGCGGACGGGUGAGGAAUACGUCGGAAUCUACUUUUUCGUGGGGGAUAACGUAGGGAAACUUACGCUAAUACCGCAUACGACCUACGGGUGAAAGCAGGGGAUCUUCGGACCUUGCGCGAUUGAAUGAGCCGAUGUCGGAUUAGCUAGUUGGCGGGGUAAAGGCCCACCAAGGCGACGAUCCGUAGCUGGUCUGAGAGGAUGAUCAGCCACACUGGAACUGAGACACGGUCCAGACUCCUACGGGAGGCAGCAGUGGGGAAUAUUGGACAAUGGGCGCAAGCCUGAUCCAGCCAUACCGCGUGGGUGAAGAAGGCCUUCGGGUUGUAAAGCCCUUUUGUUGGGAAAGAAAAGCAGCAGGCUAAUACCCCGCUGUUCUGACGGUACCCAAAGAAUAAGCACCGGCUAACUUCGUG
rnacentral:rRNA from 1 species